rnacentral:rRNA from 1 species
UACGUAGGGCGCAAGCGUUGUCCGGAAUUAUUGGGCGUAAAGAGCUCGUAGGCGGCUUGUCACGUCUGGUGUGAAAUUUCGGAGCUUAACUCCGAAACUGCAUUCGAUACUGCUGUGCUUGAGGACUGGAGAGGAGACUGGAAUUUACGGUGUAGCAGUGAAAUGCGUAGAGAUCGUAAGGAAGACCAGUGGCGAAGGCGGGUCUCUGGACAGUUCCUGACACUGAGGCACGAAGGCCAGGGGAGCAAACGGG